rnacentral:rRNA from 1 species
CAAUAGCGUAUAUUAAAGUUGUUGCAGUUAAAAAGCUCGUAGUUGGAUUUGUGGCGUACGGUGUGUUCCGGGCACUUGUUGUCUGAGUAACCUGCUGUUGCAAUCCUUGGGUGGAACCUGUGUGGCAUUAGGUUGUCGUGCAGGGGAUGCCCAUCAUUUACUGUGAAAAAAUUAGAGUGUUCAAAGCAGGCUUAUGCCGUUGAAUAUAUUAGCAUGGAAUAAUGAGAUAGGACUUUUUUGCUAUUUUGUUGGUUUGCGCAAAGAGGUAAUGAUUAAUAGGGACAGUUGGGGGUAUUCGUAUUCCAUUGUCAGAGGUGAAAUUCUUGGAUUUUUGGAAGACGAACUACUGCGAAAGCAUUUACCAAGGAUGUUUUCAUUAA